rnacentral:lncRNA from 1 species
UGUACGCACGAGGUGUAUGCUUUCUUCAUAGUGGGGUUGGUUGCUGUCUUGACUAGGGAUUGAAUUUUCUUGAAACCUUCUGAUGCACUUGUUUGUGCAGAACCAAAGGUGAUCUUUGCUAGCGUUUGAAGAUCAGCACCUGAGGUCUUUGGGUUGGAUUUCAUGUAGCUAGUGCAGAAGGAUUGGUUUUUCGCUUUCCCACAGAUUGCUUUUAUGUCUGCUACUUGUGCAUUCAAGGCACCAAUCAUUACAAAAAACAUCAGAGAAGACACAAUAACUCUGUUCAUCAGGUAUGCUGCCAUCUUUGCUUUUUUCUUUUUUAUGUUCUUUGAUAGAUGAUUAAGUUAUUCCCUUACUAUGCCUGAGUGUUCAUAUUUAUAGAUACUCGCGAUUGAUUGCUUCCACUAGAACUAAUAAUAGAAAUUCUUGGAAUGGGUUGUUGCUCUUUCUGAUUCUUAGUUAGACCACAAGUCCUAAUAUAAGAGAGAGAAACACUUUGCUAUUCUUAGCAUUAGUGCAGAGAUUAGUUAUCUGAUUAGUAUUCUUCUAACUUACUUUCCUGACCUCUCUUCUUUAGGUAGAUUUGCAUUCACGAAUAUGUGUUCAUGAUUUUUGGCACUAAUAAAGUUUUACUGUAGGCAAAUAUUAAAGGUUAUGUGGAUAUAAUUGUCAUAAUUUACACCAGAAGUAACGAGAGAUGGAAGUUUUUUCAUUCUAAGCUAAGAUGCAAGACAUAAUAGUUGACUAAGAAUUUAUUCAUUUAUUGGUUUUUAAGUUACUACAACAGAGUGAAUGACAUUGAAGGGUUUCUGCCAUCUUGCAGGUGAAAGAUACAUAAAGAAUCAAGAAGUCAAAACGUCGGAGAAAACCCUAUCAAUGUUACACAUUCUUUUAAAAAAUGAAUUGAGUUUCGCUACAUAAUCCGGCACAUUAACCCGUCCUUCAAACUGAGCUUCACACACUGAUAUACUAAUGAAGGCUUUAGCAGCCCCUUGAGAUGCUAACGGGUACGCCUUAGAG